GGGAUGGUGGCUCAGUGGUAGAGCGCUUGCCUUGCGUGCCUGAGGCCCUGGGUUCAAUUCCUCAGCACCCCA
rfam:Dipodomys ordii contig_41574, whole genome shotgun sequence.